CAAACUGUGGAGACUCUCCGGUUGGAGCCCAGAGGGGAAAAUGAUGACCUGAAGAAGAGAAAGGGAGCUGGCACAGACAGACAGGUGGACCUGAAGGGGUUGAAAGAACCUUCCAUUUCAUGAGGUAUUCUGAACCAACUCUGAAGACUUCUAAGCACUUAAUACCUCAGAGACAGAGCUAGAAACAUCUGCAGCUACUGUCCUGGACCAUGGUGCUGUUAUUCUCUUGAAUCAAUAAAAGGCCUGCCUUGAACUCA
rnacentral:lncRNA from 1 species